CCUACGGGAGGCAGCAGUGGGGGAUAUUGCACAAUGGGGGAAACCCUGAUGCAGCGACGCCGCGUGAGUGAAGAAGUAUUUCGGUAUGUAAAGCUCUAUCAGCAGGGAAGAAAAUGACAGUACCUGACCAAGAAGCCCCGGCUAACUACGUGCCAGCAGCCGCGGUAAUACGUAGGGGGCAAGCGUUAUCCGGAUUUACUGGGUGUAAAGGGAGCGUAGACGGUUGUGUAAGUCUGGAGUGAAAGCCCGGGGCUCAACCCCGGGACUGGUUUGGAAACUGUGAGACUGGAGUACAGGAGGGGUAGGUGGAAUUCCUGGUGUAGAGGGGAAAUGCGUAGAUAGUAGGAGGAACACAGGUGGCGAAGGCGGGCUGCUGGACUGAAACUGACGUUGAGGCUCGAAAGCGUGGGGAGCAAACAGGAUUAGAUACCCGUGUAGUC
rnacentral:rRNA from 1 species